rnacentral:rRNA from 1 species
CUUGGUCAUUUAGAGGAAGUAAAAGUCGUAACAAGGUUUCCGUAGGUGAACCUGCGGAAGGAUCAUUAAAGAGUAAGGGUCUCUGGCCCGAACCUCCAACCCUCUGUUGUUAUAACCACUUCGUUGCUUUGGCGGGACCGCGAAGGUUCUCCCGAGCGCGCCAGUCUCCGGACAGGCGAGCGCCCGCCAGAGUCUAACCAAACUCUUGUUUUAAACCAGUCGUCUGAGUAUAAAAUUUUAAUUAAAUUAAAACUUUCAACAACGGAUCUCUUGGUUCUCGCAUCGAUGAAGAACGCAGCGAAAUGCGAUAAGUAAUGUGAAUUGCAGAAUUCAGUGAAUCAUCGAAUCUUUGAACGCACAUUGCGCCCCUUGGUAUUCCGAGGGGCAUGCCUGUUCGAGCGUCAUUACACCACUCAAGCACCGCUUGGUAUUGGGCAUCGUCCGACGAAAGGCGGGCGUGCCUCGAAGACCUCGGCGGGGUUUCUCCAACUUCGGGCGUAGUAGAGUUAGAUCAAAACGUCUUAUAAGCUUGGUGAGAUCUCAUUGCCGUUAAACCUUUUAUUUUUUCAGGUUGACCUCGGAUCAGGUAGGGAUACCCGCUGAACUUAAGCAUAUCAAUAAGCGGAGGA